CCUACGGGAGGCAGCAGUGGGGAAUAUUGGACAAUGGGCGAAAGCCUGAUCCAGCAAUGCCGCGUGAGUGAUGAAGGCCUUCGGGUCGUAAAGCUCUUUUACCAGGGAUGAUAAUGACAGUACCUGGAGAAUAAGCUCCGGCUAACUCCGUGCCAGCAGCCGCGGUAAUACGGAGGGAGCUAGCGUUGUUCGGAAUUACUGGGCGUAAAGAGUACGUAGGCGGUUAUUCAAGUCAGAGGUGAAAGCCCGGGGCUCAACCCCGGAACUGCCUUUGAAACUAGAUAACUAGAGUCUUGGAGAGGUUAGUGGAAUUCCGAGUGUAGAGGUGAAAUUCGUAGAUAUUCGGAAGAACACCAGUGGCGAAGGCGACUAACUGGACAAGUACUGACGCUGAGGUACGAAAGCGUGGGGAGCAAACAGGAUUAGAUACCCUGGUAGUCCACGCCGUAAACGAUGAUAACUAGUUGUUCGGUCACUUGGUGACUGAGUGACGCAGCUAACGCAUUAAGUUAUCCGCCUGGGGAGUACGGUCGCAAGAUUAAAACUCAAAUGAAUUGACGGCUGAGACGUUGCGAGNGACACAGGAGAG
rnacentral:rRNA from 1 species